GAUGAAGAACGUAGCGAAAUGCGAUAAGUAAUGUGAAUUGCAGAAUUCAGUGAAUCAUCGAAUCUUUGAACGCACAUUGCGCCCGCCAGUAUUCUGUCGGGCAUGCCUGUUCGAGCGUCAUUACAACCCUCAGGCCCCCGGGCCUGGCGUUGGGGAUCGGCGGAAGCCCCCUGCGGGCACAACGCCGUCCCCCAAAUACAGUGGCGGUCCCGCCGCAGCUUCCAUUGCGUAGUAGCUAACACCUCGCAACUGGAGAGCGGCGCGGCCACGCCGUAAAACACCCAACUUCUGAAUGUUGACCUCGAAUCAGGUAGGAAUACCCGCUGAACUUAAGCAUAUCAAUAAGCGGAGGA
rnacentral:misc_RNA from 1 species